AGUUAUAUUUGUGCCACAAUCCUGAGCGCACAGUGUGAAAUUUUGAGCACAGAAAACAAUUUUGAGCAAUGAAAAACUUAAUCUGAGCAAACAAAAAUCUGUUCUGCACUCAAAAAAUAUAUUUUUAUAUUUGCAACUAUCCACAUACACACACAGUCUUAAUGCUUUUCACUCGGUUUUUUACUCUGCUCUCCUGUGGAUCUCUGCUCUACGUCCUUGCUACGUCUCUCUCGCUCUCGCUCAACAUCUGCUCUCUGCACACGCUCAAAUCUGCCUUCACGCUCGCUCAACUCUGCACGGCGUUACAAAUGUGCCACAAUUCCAGCCAAUCACAGACUUCUGAUUCUAUCCAAUCGGGUCCCUGUUUCGGCCGCCUCUCGGAAGCGCUGUUAAAAACGAUCGCUAAAUCAACUGGAGUUCUGCUAUAUACGCUGGACUACGACAGAUUUUCGAGCCACUGGACCCUCGUUUAAUUAGCCAAGAUUAGCAAAGCUGUACCAUGUCGGAUCCUGAACGACAACACAACGGUGCACCACAUCGACAUGUCUUGUACUUGGAUGCUGCAACAAAUAACAGAGCACAAACUGCAUUCUCAUUCUUCAUCACAUCGGUCCAGCUUCAUGGCUUACCGUCAAGGGUUAGGGCAGAUCAGGGAGUAGAAAACCUGGAUAUUGCACAUUUCAUGUUUGCCACACGAGGAACAGGAAGAUCGAGCUUCAUCUCUGGAAAAAGUACCAUGACAUUCUUCACUCUCUGGAAGAGGAUGGUCUACUUGAUAUAUCUGAUGCCACUCUUCUCUUUGGUGUGCACUACGUCUUUGUCCCCGACUCCGGGCAGAUCUUGAUACCUUUAUUGAAGGAUGGAAUAAUCAUUCUCUGUGGACAGAGGGAGGUCUCACCCCUGAACAGCUGUGGUGCAUGGGACGUCUACAAGAUCUGGAUGAGGGGGAGAGACUCAAGGACCUUCAGGACCCAGGCAUUGACUGGGAGAGUGCUGUGCUGCAGGAAGACUCUCAUGGCACAGUUGUGGUUCCUGAAUUUGAGUGCCCACUGGAUGAUGAAGCCCUGGAAGAACUUCAGAGAACUAUCAACCCUCUGGAACAUUCAGAGUCACAUGGUCGUGACUUAUAUAUCAGGUUCUUGCAACAGGUGUCCAACCAAUAGACAUUUGGACAGGAACUUGAAAGUCAACAAAUAUUCCAGCACAGUGACAAAAAUUAUUGAAGCUUUUCUAACUAAUAAAAGCAAGAGAACCCUGUAUAAAAGGGAAUCUGUAUGACUGAAGAGAAAGUCAAACACUGAGCUAACAGGAACAAUUGUUUUGCUUUUUUCAUUAGCUAUGAACAUAUUCUAUCAGUUAAUGUUUAGAAAUAGCUUCUCAUUUUUUGUUUCAGAUUACCAGAGGGCUGUUUCUGUUAAACUCUGUAGAAGCCACCACCAUAUCUAACUGCUUCACUCAUAAGUCUUCUGAAUUCAGUGUAAGUGUUGAGAUGCUGCACUGGA